UUUCUAUUUAUCUUAACAGUAGAAAUGCUUGCUAUCUUGAUAGAUAAAAACAGCAACUUUGAUAGACUCAGUGUAUUUGGAAGACAAAUUGGUAAUAGUCAAUUAGCUGACGAUACAGUGAUCUUUUUAAAGGACCAAUUUCAGAUUGAUAAAGCCAUUCAACUAGUUAAUCUCUUUUCCAAAGCAUCAGGCCUACACUUAAACUUGAACAAGUGUGAGUUACUUGCAAUUCAUGGCAGCGAACUGGGCUCUUUAUGUAACAUACCAAUAAAAACAUGUGUAAAAUACUUGGGGAUAACCAUUACUAGAGAUAGUAAUCAAAGUGUCCAAGAAAAUUUUGUUAAAAAUCUUUCAAAAGCAAAAACUAUUCUCAAUAACUGGAUACAAAGAGAUAUCUCAAUUUUUGGAAGAGUUUUAUUGACUAAAAUGGAAUUACUCUCCAGGUUUGUUUAUCCAGCCUCCUCCUUAGCUAUCCCACCUCACUUACUAAAAGAAUGUAAUAUUGCAUUAUUUAAAUUCAUUUGGAAAAAUAAGUGUCACUAUAUUAACAAAAAUGAUUUGGUUCACAGUUACGAAGAAGGAGGAUUAAAUGUUAUUGACUUAGAAAUAACAAAUAGUGUUUUAAAAACUCAAUGGUUAAGAUCAUUUCUUUGUAAUACAAACUGCUUAUGGUUUACUGUCUCCUCUUCAAUAUUUGGGAAAGUAGGUGGCUUGGAUUUUUUGAUUAGAUGUGACUUUGAUUUGUCCAAAUUACCUCUUAAAUUGUCUGCAUUCCAUCAACAAGUUCUCCUGUGUUGGAAAUUAGCAUUUUCUCACAACUUUAGUCCACACAAAACUUGUAUUUGGAACAAUCGUUUUAUUUUGCACCAUAACAAAUCUUUAUUUUAUGAAAACUGGUUUCAAUAUAACAUUUUUUCCCUAUUGGACAUGAUGGACAACUAUGGUAAUGUUCUCAAUUACAAUGAUUUUUGUUUAAAACAUGGAUUUGUAUGUCAUCCUAAAGAGUUUUACAAUGUUGUAAAUGCCAUACCAAAAAACAUGGUAUUAUUAGUAAAAGGGAUUCUUUCACAUUACUCUGUGACAUUCUCUCUCCCAUCUCCUUGUCUGGGUCAAUUGUUUAUUAGAGAUCAUA
rnacentral:lncRNA from 1 species